rnacentral:lncRNA from 1 species
UUUUAUUUUGGGUGACGUCAGCCGGGAGAUGAGAGUGAGCCCUCAUAUUCCUCUUGUCUCCCCUAAAGAUGGGAGGCCAGGGGUUUUAAAGGUUGUAAGGAAUGUGGCUGCUUGCAUGGAGGAGGAGAUAAGGAAUUCUGCAGGUGGCUGUCCUUGAUUAUCUGCCUCUGUAGGGGAUGGUGGAUUCUGGUGCCAGGAAGCCAAGGAGUAAGCAGGGAAUGGGGAUGAGUGUUUUUAUUUUAACCCCAUAUAUGCUGGGUUUAAUGUAGGGGAACCGAUAUCAGGGCUGGUAUCAUUACCACUACUAUGAUUUGACUGACUUGGGACCUCAUAUUUGGUUUUGUGUUGAAGUUUCCCCUUCACCGUGGACUGUUUUUCAAGUCCAGCCAUACCCUCAGCCAUGACAUUGACUACAGCAUUUGCUCUGCACAAACCUCUGUACUCCACAGGCAGACCUUCAUACCGAGUGCUUCCUUAAUCCUCUGCUUGCUUCUGUAAUCACCUUCGGGAAGAGGGGCCAUCCCCUUCAGGUUGCUCUACGGGGAAGCCAUUCUGCAGAAAGGCCAGCUUGCCACUGGAAUUUUUAUUGGAUUUCUUCAGAGACACAAUGUAGCAGCAGUUUUAACGAAUGUGCUUCCAUUUGUAAUGGAAAACUUAAUCUUGUGAAAUUAAGAGAGUGCAGUCACCUGUGGCUUAAAACUCAGUUUGGGGGUGGUGGUGGGUAAUUCCCAGUUGAUUAGGAUUAUUUCCCUGUGCUCCUCUGGUCAGGAUUCCAGUGUGGGCAGUGGGAGGGGGAGAGGCUUAAGUGUCAUCCUAGCAUCGUCUCAGUGCUUCUUUCUGGGUCUUCUUCCCUGUGGGAUCCACUGAGAGUGCACUGUCUGAUCUCCCACCCAAGUGCACACUGGUCAUUGCAGGACAGCUUGAGGGCUCUUCCAUGUUGAUCUGGCCCAGCCUGGAUCUCAGGGGCCUGAUGACUUGGUACCAACUAGCUGUAGGCUCCUUUGCCAACCUGGGCUGUCCAUCCCUCUAGCCUCAUAUGGACCAUGGUUCCUGGGAGGCACUUCAGCAUUCCUCUAGGGCC